UACGUAGGGCGCAAGCGUUGUCCGGAAUUAUUGGGCGUAAAGAGCUCGUAGGUGGUUUGUUACGUCUGCUGUGAAAACCUAGGGCUUAACCCUGGGCCUGCAGUGGAUACGGGCAGACUAGAGGUAGGUAGGGGAGAAUGGAAUUCCCGGUGUAGCGGUGAAAUGCGCAGAUAUCGGGAGGAACACCAGUGGCGAAGGCGAUCACCUGGGUUGUUCGUGACGCUGAGGAGCGAAAGCUAGGGGAGCAAAGCGGG
rnacentral:rRNA from 1 species